CAGUAAACCAGGACUUCAUUCUUUAUAAACCGUGUAUCUUUCAAUCAGUAAUCCCAUUUAAAAUCUGUUGUGUAGAUCCUAUGUUAAAGUUUCAACAGUUCUAGCCGGAAUUCUCAAAUUUGGAGAUUUUGUAUCUUGCAAGAUUUUUGUUAAAAGAGAUAUAGCUCGAUGUCUAAUAACUAUGACAAUUGGGAAAGACUUGUGGAAGCCGUGCUCCGGAGAGAACAUGACCGGGAACUUUCUUUAGCUCAUUCCAGGGAACCAAGUACAAGCUCUAGUAUCAUAUCCGAUCCCUUCGUGACAAUCAGAAUAUUCAACUUGGAUCAUCUUCCAAUAUUGUAAAUGAAAGAGAUUGGGAGAGAUUGCAGCUAUCAGAUUAUGAGGGCAUCAUCUAUAGAUCUGUGCAUCCUGUGGCCUAUGCAACCAUGAAAGACCUCUACUUGAGUCUUUGUGACUCUCCAGUUUUAUUUGAUGGAGGCAAAAUGGUAAAUCCACAAAUUUCUAUAAAUUUCUAUAUUCUGCUGUUAUUUAUGAACUUAACAAAAAUAAAAGGAUUAAUUAUUUGAGCAUUGAUGAACGCAGAGCUUUUAUAUUGAUAAAACAACUGGGAAGAAAUGUGUUAUGAUUGGAGCAAGAAAACUCAAAAUUUUAUGGGGGUAAAAUCCCAGAAUUCUAAAAGUUGGCAUCUCAACCAGACUCCAGGUCCACUAACAUGUACAAGAUAUAUAUUUUUACUUUUGAAUUUCCUCUGAAAUUGCAUGUUAAUAAUAUUAUGUCCAAAUUCUUAACAGUAGCAAAGCUUAAACGAGUUUUAAGGUUUGAUAUUCGAGGACAUAUGCUGUCCCCAAAGACACCCUAUGCAGCUUAUCUAGUAUAUGGAUUCGCGAAUUCUUACAAGGGUAGUCCCUCAUUAGCAAAUGCAAUUAUCAAUUUUGAUAGAUUUAAAGAUGGCGAUGCUCACAAGCGAGCUAGUGUUUUGAACCUUAAUCCACAGACAGAUAGAAAUGGGAAUGCUACAAUGAGACCCGAUAAGUGGAUGGAGGUAGAAAUUGGAGGCUUUUACACUGAUCAAGAAGAUAACAGUGUUGCAGAGGUGCGAACAUGGGAGAAUAAACAAUGUUUGAAGUCCGGCCUCAUUGUAGAAGGCAUUGAAUUUCGGCCCUCAAUGCUAACAGUGUGAUUUUCCCAAAGAAAAAUGGGGGAGAGAAAAGAAAGGGAGUCAAAGAAUCUUUUCAAUCCUUAGGAUUUCGGGAUAAUUGGAUAAAAAAUUCUGAGUUAGCAUGAUUUGUCUUCUUUUUUCUGCCAACUUGUUCAGAGUGGGGCUGAAGCUGCACUGCUAGAGUACUUAAUCUUAUUUGGGCUGCAUAAGUUAUUAAUUAUGUAAAUAAUUGGUGAUAGCCCCGCCCAUGAAGUUAUGUAAACUUUAUGUAAGAAAUACAUGUUACAACAUACGCAGAAGAAUCAUACUUUGAGAGAAAUGACUUGGGAAUGCUCGCCACAUCUCAAUUUCCAUGGUUGUCUAUGCACCUGCAAAAAUAAUCGAGGAAUAAGAAUAUUUUUUAGGUUCUUUGCUUUCAGAGGAGUUGAAUAUUGAUACAUAUGUGCAUCUAAAUAAACUAUUAAGUGAUGCAACGUGAAUCAAGAUGAAAAUGUGAAUAAUUCUAGUUGAUUCCAAGUGAAUACCAAAUACGGUUUUUGAAAAAAAAAAAUGUAAACUAAAGGUGGAAAUUAAUGUUUUCAAACCUUAGAAUCUGUGGAUGAAAUGAAUAUAAAAUUCGGUGUCUCUGCCUGAUUUGUCUUCGUUUUCGUCUUCUCCCAUCUUUUUCGGUGUACGGCUGAAGUUGCAAUGAUAGGCUAUUUAUCCUUGGACUAUAAAACAAAUGUUAUUAGUAUUGUAAAUGAUAUGAAAUAGACCCCACCAAGUUCUUAGUAGCUCCUCCCUCUAAAGUUAUGUAAAUGUUAUGCAAGUAAUAUAUGGCACGACAUACGCAGAAGAAUCAUUCUUUUAGAGAGAGAUGACACAGGAAUGCUCCUCACAUCUCAAUUAACAUACAUAUAUAUAUACAAUUUUGGAACUACAACCUUCAAAAGAAACAAGAAAGAAAACAAUGAGGUAACGAGGCUAAUUCAAUGAUUUAUGAGCUAACAAUAAAGCGUGUUUGAAACCAGUAUGGAUAUUGGGGUUCAGUUGAGAACUCUGACACCAAUUUUUGACAUUGAGGUAGACCAAAAAUAUCUGGGAUGCAGGUAGAGGAAGAGACAAGAGCAACUUGAGUCCUAAGUGUCACACGGUGAGAAUGCUUAUCUCCCAAUACCGCAAGGUAAAGUCGCCAACAACUACGCAUACGUUAUGUUUUAUCAGCGAGUGCACUAACGAUAUGAUCACUAGCAGGUAAUAUCCAACAUCCGACCCAUAAGUACGCGUCACUAGUUUUCCGUGCUUGUUGGAGUAAGAAAGAGGGGAAGGCUUCCUUGAGACGUGGAACCUUAGGUUCCAAACAUUUGGUCCAUGAAAGUUGUAUCAGAGCAAGACGGCUUGAAGGCAGGUUGUUGGUUGGGGAAGAUCAAUGGAGUGCAAGAACAAGAAAUUGAUCCAAUGAUUGUGUCGACAAACAUGCUGAACAUGAUGAAAGAUGAUGUGGGAACGAUAGAUGUAAAGGGUAGUCGUUGCACGAAUGUGCCUAUGUACCUUUUAAGGUGUUUUGUGGAGAACACAUUGCAGGGCACAAUGAUGAAGACUUUGUAUUUGACUGUUUUCUUCAACCUGUGUUGUGGCACUGCUAUAGGAGGCUAUCUACUUGAGAAACUAACGCUUAUGGGGACAUAUAUUGAAGCUUCAUGUCGGAGGUGGUAUGUAUGAGUUACUCUGGGUUGAUGUCCGAGGGAGCACUGUGUGAGUGCCGGUCCAUGAGGAGAUGGUGGUGUUGUUAAUUUUUCAGUGGAGGGAUGUGUAUUGAUGCAAAACUCACGUCCUGCUACAAGGGCGUAAACCGAUUCGAGUAGGGAGAAUGUUGCAUAGUGAGAAUGCUUAUCUACCCAUUCGAAUUGGCAAGGUCGCCAACAACUGGUUGUGUGAUAUGACCCAUCCCGAAUCACUCUAGUGGAUCAAAAAUAUGAUCUACGCCGAUAAUAGAUGCUGGCUAGAUGUCAAAUUUAUCACCAAAGUUGACUAUGAGUUAUUUCAAAAAAUGUAUCAAAAUCAAAUGUUAUAUAAAAUAUAAUGAGAUCGACCCAAAUUAUUUACUUCAUGCUUUAUUAAUAUGAAUUAUAACACUCAACAUGUCUUGUGGCUCUCAUUCCGAAAUCAUUAGGCUCUUACAGCUAAAAGGAAUCAAUUGCUGCCUGUAAGAAAAUUCAUCGAAAAAUAUAUGAGUUAAUAGUUCAGUGAAUAGAAAAGUUCGAAAAUAAUUAUACUUUUUCAAUUUUACAUUUUUAUCGAAAAUUGAAUUUAUAUCAUUUAAUAAUUCACAAGAUGACAUCAUAUAAUUAUAACCAAAAGUGAAAUAUUCACAUAAUGUCGUAAAAUAUCAUCUCAAAAUUAUGAUAUAAACAUCAGCUGAUAACAACGCUAUAAUCUCAUGACAUCAAACGUACUGAAAAAUCCACCAAAAAUAUACUCUCUCACUAAAAUAUGUAAUCUGUCCUUCGGGCUAAGAACUUUCACCACAAUCCUUUGGCUCCCUCCAUGAAUGAAAGUCUGUCUUAAAGACAUCUCAUAAUCAAUUCUAGAACACGACUAAGGCCCCUCAGUGAACUAUAUAUAUACGGCAAGACCCCUUCAUCCCUGGUCCAAGAACCCUCAAUGUAAAAUAGAACACGACUAAGACCCCUCAGUAAACUAGAAAAGAUUUAUAAUCAUAGGUGCUUUUCUGGUCGAUCUCAAUAUCACAUACUUACAUACCAAAUCACAAACAUAUCAUAAAUAAUUCUUGAAAUUUCACAUGGAUCAUAAUAAAAGAAACUUUCAUCGUAAUCACAUGAUGAAGCAAAUAAUUCACAUAAUUUUACAUACAUUGAUAAUCUACUUAAUUUAUAAUUAUUUAAAAAAUAUUUAUAUUUUUCACUCACGGAACUAUAUUCGCAAAAUCAACUCGGUUGGUGAGCUAUCCCGAUAUCAGUAUCGUCGCAUGAAAUAUGAUAUAAUUUUUAAAUCAACUAUUAACUAUUUUAAAUAAUUUCACUAAUUAAAUAGGCGAUACCCAAAUUUAAUCAUUACAUGUUUAGGCGAUUUUUAAAGUUUCGUUAAUCACUAAAACUAAUUUUUCUUUCAUUCAGCUCAAUUUCAUAGCUUAUUAUACUUAACCCUUUCAAUAAAAUUGAAUUUAAUUUAACAAUCUAACAACUAUAAAAUUAAACAUAACCUUUUAAUAAGUAACUUUUUACUUAUCUUUAACUUUAAAGAAUUCAAGCCUAAUAGUAGAAGAACUUAUUUCUAAAAUGUUGGCGAAAAUUUUCUAAUUUUUUUUUUCUUUCUUCCUCUUUCAUCUUUCUCUUUUUCCCUCUUCUUCGUUUUCUUUUUGGGUGUGUGUUGUGUGUGUUUUUUUUAUGUGAAAAUUGAUAUGGAUUGUAUAUAUAUACACAUUUUGGGCAUAGGUGGAUUGAUAUAAAUCAAUCCACCGCCUACCAUUUUCUUUGUCUUUUUUUUUUAUUAAUAUGUUUGACUUUUCUUUUUCUUUUUUUUAAUUAAAUUAAUGUAUUACAUUGUGUGGCCUAUUUUAUCGAAUAAUGUGAACGCUAUAAUCUCAUGACAUCAAACGUACUGAAAAAUCCACCAAAAAUAUACUCUCUCACUAAAAUAUGUAAUCUGUCCUUCGGGCUAAGAACUUUCACCACAAUCCUUUGGCUCCCUCCAUGAAUGAAAGUCUGUCUUAAAGACAUCUCAUAAUCAAUUCUAGAACACGACUAAGGCCCCUCAGUGAACUAUAUAUAUACGGCAAGACCCCUUCAUCCCUGGUCCAAGAACCCUCAAUGUAAAAUAGAACACGACUAAGACCCCUCAGUAAACUAGAAAAGAUUUAUAAUCAUAGGUGCUUUUCUGGUCGAUCUCAAUAUCACAUACUUACAUACCAAAUCACAAACAUAUCAUAAAUAAUUCUUGAAAUUUCACAUGGAUCAUAAUAAAAGAAACUUUCAUCGUAAUCACAUGAUGAAGCAAAUAAUUCACAUAAUUUUACAUACAUUGAUAAUCUACUUAAUUUAUAAUUAUUUAAAAAAUAUUUAUAUUUUUCACUCACGGAACUAUAUUCGCAAAAUCAACUCGGUUGGUGAGCUAUCCCGAUAUCAGUAUCGUCGCAUGAAAUAUGAUAUAAUUUUUAAAUCAACUAUUAACUAUUUUAAAUAAUUUCACUAAUUAAAUAGGCGAUACCCAAAUUUAAUCAUUACAUGUUUAGGCGAUUUUUAAAGUUUCGUUAAUCACUAAAACUAAUUUUUCUUUCAUUCAGCUCAAUUUCAUAGCUUAUUAUACUUAACCCUUUCAAUAAAAUUGAAUUUAAUUUAACAAUCUAACAACUAUAAAAUUAAACAUAACCUUUUAAUAAGUAACUUUUUACUUAUCUUUAACUUUAAAGAAUUCAAGCCUAAUAGUAGAAGAACUUAUUUCUAAAAUGUUGGCGAAAAUUUUCUAAUUUUUUUUUUCUUUCUUCCUCUUUCAUCUUUCUCUUUUUCCCUCUUCUUCGUUUUCUUUUUGGGUGUGUGUUGUCUGUGUUUUUUUUAUGUGAAAAUUGAUAUGGAUUGUAUAUAUAUACACAUUUUGGGCAUAGGUGGAUUGAUAUAAAUCAAUCCACCGCCUACCAUUUUCUUUGUCUUUUUUUUUUAUUAAUAUGUUUGACUUUUCUUUUUCUUUUUUUUAAUUAAAUUAAUGUAUUACAUUGUGUGGCCUAUUUUAUCGAAUAAUGUGCUAAUGAUAAGAUCAUAUGCUGGUAAUACCUAACAUCUUACCCAUAAGAGUGUGUGUGUGGCAGUUGCUUGGCUUGACGGUCUAAGAAUGAGAGGAAGGCUACCUUAGAGGCGUAGAACCUAGGGAGCCAAACCUACGGUCCAUGAAACUAAGGCUGCACUGGAAGAAGACCUCUCCUUACCUCCCUUUGAAAACUCAAACAGAAAAGCAUAUAUAAUUCAUACCAUUAGUCCAUUUCAAAAUUUUGUGUGCAUAUCCCAUGUUAAUGUAAUUUCUAUAAUUCAAUCCAGAAUUUCAUAGUUGAUCAUUGUAGAUUUUGCAUUUUGUAAGAUAGUUGUUCAAAGAGACAGACUAGAUGUCUAAAAACUAUGACAAUUGGGAGAGACUAGUGGAAGUCAUGUUGUGGAGAGAACAGCUUCGACAUCUUGCUUUAGCCAGUUUGAGGGAAUAAAGUUUCAGCUCCAUGUCUUUAAGUUUCAGAGUCGGACUAGGAUUUCCAAUUCAUGAACAGAAUCUUCAGCUUGAAGCUUAUUCUAGUACAGAAAUUGACCUGUAAAUCCUGUGGCAUAUGCAAACCAAGAAAGAUUUGUAUUUAAGCUUUGUUACUCUCCCAUUUUACUUAAUGGAGGGAAAUAUGGUAAUUAUCUAUGUCCAAAAAUGAUCUUAUACUAUUUCAUGCUGCUAGUAUUGUUAUUGCAAAAUGAAACAAGCGAGGACUGAUCACUAGCAUUUAUAUAAUUAUUAAAAUUCAAUUGGAAUAAUAAUUUCAUUUCACUAUAUUUUUAUACUAAUAACAACAAAACUCAAUCAUUAAUCUUGAAUUAUUAUUUCUAAAAUUUAUUAAAAUUUAUUUUUAAUAUUAAUUUCAUCUCACUAUGGAUUGGCCUUUCCAUCUAUUAAAAUUUAUUUUUUUAUAUUUUUUUUUAUUUAGUCAAAAUUUCAAUUGACGAAUUAGAUUUAUUAAAUAAAGGGACUGAAAUAGAUUUACAAUUUUUUCUUAGAUAAUUUUAGGGUUUUGCUCCUGAAAUUGUGUGUGUUAUUUCUAAAUCGAGGUGAAAUUGACUGUAACUAAAAUUUCUCUUCAAUGUGUAGAAUAGAGAUCAAAGAACUCCAACUUUAUCAUUUAUGCAUUCCAGACCAAGUGACGGGGUUCAAGAGAAAGCAUUAUUUGAUUUACUAUGAUAAUGUUUUACUUAAUUUGGGUCAAAGUUCUAAUUUGUCAGUACUUUAGUGACUAAAGAUGCAAUUUCAUUUAGAGAGGGUGAAAAUGAAGUCUGGACUUACCAAUAAAAUUAUGGCAACAACAGGGGUCUUCACAAAUGCUUUUUCCAAUCGUGUUCAGCAUUUAACUGGCUUCACCUUUGACGGCGGGACCAAGGCUUCAAUCCUUUCUACGCGUCUGAAUUACAAUCAGCACACCAAAUCAAUUCAGAUAUUAAAGUUUCAAUAAUUCAAGUGGGAUUCUCUUAUUCGAGAUUUUGUAGCUAGAUGUCUAAUAACUAUGAUAACUGGGAAAGACUUGUGGAAGUUGUUCUCCGUAGAGAACAAUUCAAGCAACUAGCUUUAAUUUCCUCGAGCGAACCAAGUUUCAGCUCCACAUCCUCUAGUACAUCUGGGUGGAAUACUCCGAUUUGUGAUGAUCUGAAUGUUCAACUGGCAUCUUCUUCAAGUACCGUAAAUGAAACGGAUUGGGAAAGAUUGUUGCCACCUGAUUAUGAGGACAUCAUCUCCAGAUCUGUGAAUCCUGUGGACUAUGCAACCA
rnacentral:lncRNA from 1 species